rnacentral:rRNA from 1 species
UGAGCAAUCUGCCCUUCACAUCGGAAUAACCAUUGGAAACGAUGGCUAAUGCCGAAUAUGACUUCGGAUCGCAUGAUCUGAAGUGGAAAGCUCCGGCGGUGAAGGAUGAGCUCGCGGCCUAUCAGCUUGUUGGUGAGGUAAUAGCUCACCAAGGCGAUGACGGGUAGCCGGCCUGAGAGGGUGACCCGGCCACACUGGGACUGAGACCAGGCCCAG